rnacentral:rRNA from 1 species
GACGAACGCUGGCGGCGCGCUUAACACAUGCAAGUCGAACGGAAAGGCCUGCUUUCCCUUGUGGAUUGCGGGUACUCGAGUGGCGAACGGGUGAGUAACACGUGAGUGAUCUGCCCCCAACUUGGGUAUAAGCCUGGGAAACUGGGUCUAAUUCCCGAUAGGACUGCAGGGUGGUGCCUGUGGUGGAACACGAUUUUCUAGUGGUUGGGGAUGAGCUCGCGGCCUAUCAGCUUGUUGGUGGGGUAAUGGCCUACCAAGGCGGCGACGGGUAGCCGGCCUGGGAGGGUGGACGGCCGCAUUGGGACUGAGAUACGGCCCAGACUCCUACGGGAGGCAGCAGUGGGGAAUAUUGCACAAUGGGCGGAAGCCUGAUGCAGCGACGCCGCGUGGGGGAUGACGGCCUUCGGGUUGUAAACUCCUUUCGACCGCGAGGAAGCCACCUGGUUGGAAGGGUGGUGACGGUAGUGGUAGAAGAAGCACCGGCUAACUACGUG